GCCAGAAAUGGUGUUGAUUGUCUAAAAAAAGAAAGUUUGAUUGACACGUGCUGACUUUUGGAACGUUGGCCUGAACAAUGAAAUGGAAUCAACUGUGAAUUUUGAGGAUUUAGUUUCUCUAAAGAACAUAAUGUCACUUGUACAAUUAAGUAAAAUGUAACUUUUUGUGUUUGUUUUUUGCAGAUAUGAAAUGCAUAUUUAUAACUUGUCUAACAAGUAGCUCAUUCAAAGGUAUAAAAAAGUAUUUUUUGGCGUGUGUAGGGUAUUUUAACUAUGUAGCCUACAGAAUGCUUGUAUGGGCUCAUGUAGGUGUCUGCGUACGUUUGUAUUUAUAUAACAUAUGUCCGUGUGUAUAGAUUAUGUAUUUUUCAGGGAAGGACCAUAUUUGUGGCUGACCCCUAUGUUGUUGCAACAUGGUGAAAGCCUACAGGAUGUGACCCACACAUGCAUUUGCCUGUAAGGCUGAUUAGUAACAACUACAACUUGGAGCAUUGGUUCAUUUUCAAAGAACAGUCAAAUCAUAACAAAUUAAAUGAUCCAAAUUCCAAUUAUUUGUGGGAAGAAAAACAGAUCCAAUCAUGAGAUCAGGGAACUAUUGUUAUCUCUAAUGAAAUUCAGUAUCCAUUCAUAUUGGCAUGGCGUUUCCAUGAUGAUCCAGAAUAGCCUUGUUUGGUUUUGAAGGUAUGUUCCAGUCGAUCCUUUUAUGUUGCCCCUUCAAUUAAAGCAGAAUUGCACUCCAGAUGAUUCAUCCAAUCAUUUGAAGCAAAUUUCAAAAAUGCCACUCUAAAAUUGCGAAUGUUUUGUUUCAAGGGCGUUGGCCCGGUCUCAACAUUGGUAGGGACGAAUAUAAUGCAAGUAAGGUUGCUCAAAAGUUGGUGGGGACAACUUUAGCAUCCUGAAAAGUUGGUCGUGUUAUGUCCCUACCGUCCCUAUGCAAACCUACGCCCUUGUUUUGUUUGCAUGAAUCAUUUAAACCUGACUGGUUGGUGUUCUUAUGCAUGGAAACACGUUUGUAAUUGUUUAACUACUGUAUUUAAUAUGAACCUAUAUUUUCAAUUGCAGAAAACGUUGACAGUCAAUCAACAGGGGGACAUGGAAAGAGAGGAUUGGAAGUGAAAUAGAGGGUUUUCCGGGACAGCCAUAGGGGAAGGACUGUGGCAUCUUCAUGUUGAUGGUAGACUGAUAUGCCAACUCUGAGGAAGUGGUGGUGUAUAUUGAUAGCGGACAAUUUCAAACUUGGGUGCAUGCCACAGGAAAGAGUUUGCCCAUUGGACAGAUGAGGCAAAAGCAUUACUGCAGGGUGAAGUGCCACCAGUCUAUCAGUUACAGAAGUGAAAUUUGAAUAUAAUUGCUGAGGAAGAGGUGCAACCACAGCUCCUUCAAGUUAGUGGUGGCCCACUCCAAAAAGAUAUGGCGGGAAAAAAUGUUUUGGUAAAAGGAUUGUGCAAGACAGCACAAAAGCCUCGGACAGGGCUAGGGGGGAAAAAAAAAAAUCAAUGCAGUAGGAGUUCCCAAGCAUCCUGCAGAUGGAAGAGGAUGAGCACAAACUACAAUGUCUUGGAGCCAUUCAAGUUCUGUUUCAACCAUCUGGAAGAUGGAUUUACCUUUUUUGAGGAGAUUGUUGACUAAAGAAAAUAUCUAUUCUCUCAAUAAUAAUAAAAAAUAAUAAAACUAAAAAAAUAAAGUUUACCACAUCAGAACU